ensembl:misc_RNA Metazoa_SRP Metazoan signal recognition particle RNA
GCUGGGCGUGGUGGCUCACGCCUGUAAUCCCAACUACUCGGGAGGCUGAGGUAGGAGGAUUGCUUGAACCCGGGAGGCGGAGGUUACAGUGAGCUGAGAUCGCACCACUGCACUCCAGCCUGGGUGACAGGGCGAGAAUCUGCCUCAA